rnacentral:rRNA from 1 species
GACGAACGCUGGCGGCGUGCUUAACACAUGCAAGUCGAACGGUAAGGCCCUUCGGGGUACACGAGUGGCGAACGGGUGAGUAACACGUGGGUGAUCUGCCCUGCACUUCGGGAUAAGCCUGGGAAACUGGGUCUAAUACCGGAUAGGACCACUGCCUGCAUGGGUGGUGGUGGAAAGCUUUUGCGGUGUGGGAUGGGCCCGCGGCCUCUCAGCUUGUUGGUGGGGUGAUGGCCUACCAAGGCGACGACGGGUAGCCGGCCUGAGAGGGUGACCGGCCACACUGGGACUGAGAUACGGCCCAGACUCCUACGGGAGGCAGCAGUGGGGAAUAGUGCACAAUGGGCGCAAGCCUGAUGCAGCGACGCCGCGUGAGGGAUGACGGCCUUCGGGUUGUAAACCUCUUUCAGCACCGACGAAGCGCAAGUGACGGUAGGUGCAGAAGAAGGACCGGCCAACUACGUGCCAGCAGCCGCGGUAA